AGCGAACGCUGGCGGCAGGCCUAACACAUGCAAGUCGAACGAAGUCUUCGGACUUAGUGGCGGACGGGUGAGUAACACGUGGGAACGUGCCUUUAGGUUCGGAAUGACUCAGGGAAACUUGUGCUAAUACCGAAUGUGCCCUUCGGGGGCAAGUUUUAUUGCCUUUAGGCGGGCCCGCGUCUGCUUAGCUAGUUGGUGAGGUAAAGGCUCACCAAGGCGACGAUCAGUAGCUGGUCUGAGAGGAUGAUCAGCCACAUUGUGACUGAGACACGGCCCGAACUCCUACGGGAGGCAGCAGUGGGGAAUCUUGCGCAAUGGCGAAAGCCAGACGCAGCCAUGCCGCGUGAAUGAUGAAGGUCUUAGGAUUGUAAAAUUCUUUCACCGGAGACGAUAAUGACGGUACCCGGAGAAGAAGCCCCGGCUAACUUCGUGCCAGCCGCCGCCGUAACAC
rnacentral:rRNA from 1 species